CGGGUGAGUAACGCGUGGGUAACCUGCCUCAUACAGGGGGAUAACAGUUAGAAAUGGCUGCUAAUACCGCAUAAGCACACAGUGUUGCAUGACACAGUGUGAAAAACUCCGGUGGUAUGAGAUGGACCCGCGUCUGAUUAGCUAGUUGGUGGGGUAACGGCCUACCAAGGCGACGAUCAGUAGCCGACCUGAGAGGGUGACCGGCCACAUUGGGACUGAGACACGGCCCAA
rnacentral:rRNA from 1 species